rnacentral:rRNA from 1 species
AUGGGCCCUGCCGGUCUCUACCUUCUCUUGUUCAUCGUGCUUGCAGCUGCAGCACCAUUGCUCUCUGCGUCGCAGCGUUUCGACUACCCCGCAGUGAACCUCUCCACGCUGUGGAUCAACAACAAAGCUUUCCUCCCACACAGCGUCAGCUACUCCGAUGGUUCAGCCGUGCGGGCCAUUGUCCUCCGUUCACCCAAAACCUUCUAUGGCCCCUCCUUCGCCGCAGGAUUCGUCUGCGCCUCCCCCUGCGACUUGUUCCUCUUCGCCGUCUUCAUUGUCUACACCAAUAGUGGUGCCAAGAUCACCAUGCCGACCACUGGGACUCCACAGGUGGUCUGGUCUGCCAACCGGGCUCGCCCUGUCAGAGAGAACGCGACCCUUGAGCUUUCCUCGGAUGGAAACUUGGUCCUUCGUGAUGCUGAUGCUAGCCUGGUCUGGUCGAGCAGCAGCUCUGGGCGGUCUGUAGCUGGCAUGAUGAUCACCGAGGUCGGUAAUUUGGUGUUGUUUGAUCAGAAAAAUGCAACAUUGUGGCAGUCAUUUGCUCACCCUACUGAUGCGUUGGUCCCUGGGCAGUCACUUCUCGAAGGUAUGAGGCUCGUAGCAAGUACGUCUGCAACAAAUUCGACAGAGACUCAGUUGUACAUGACAGUUCAACCUGAUGGAUUGUAUGCUUAUGUCGGAUCCACACCACCACAAGUCUAUUUUUCGAAAUCGGUGAACAAAAACAAGACAGGAAAGGAUGCAACAGAGGUUACCUUCAUGAAUGGCAGCCUCAGCAUCUCUGUGCAGUCCAAGCAACCAGAUGAAUCACACACGAGUAUCCAAUUACCAGCAGCUAACUCCACCCAGUACAUGAGAUUGGAGUCAGAUGGGCACCUGAGGCUCUACGAAUGGUCUAAUGCAGAUGCAAAAUGGGCUGUAGUGUCUGAUGUAAUCAAACUAUUCCCUGAUGAUUGUGCCUUUCCAACAGUAUGUGGAGAGUAUGGUAUAUGCACAGGGGGGCAAUGUGUUUGUCCGCUUCAGAAUAAUUCUAGUUCAAGCUACUUCAAGCCGGUCGAUGAGCGGAAGCCAAAUCUUGGUUGUGUGUCACUGACUCCAAUCUCUUGUCAGGAAAUGCAACACCAUCAGUUGUUGACUCUUACAGACGUUUCUUAUUUUGACGCCGGCCACAUCGUUGUGAAUGCAACAAACGGAGAAGACUGUAAGCAAGCUUGCUUGAAGAACUGCUCCUGCAGGGCCGUGAUGUUCAGGUAUGGCCAGAAUGAUUCCGAUGGAACGUGUCUGUGGGUGACAAGGGUCUUCUCCUUGCAAUCAAUACAACCUGAAAUUGUUCACUACAACUCCUCUGCUUACCUCAAGGUGCAGCUUAGCCCCUCAACUUCUGCCUCUAAUGCAAACAAAAAGAAGGUGAUGUUAGGUGCUACACUUGGAGCUAUUACUAUUCUUGUACUGCUAGUCAUUGCUGUCAUUCUUUAUGUGCGAAGGAAGAAGAAGUACCAAGAGUUAGAUGAAGAAUUAGAUUUUGACCAAAUUCCUGGAAUGACAGUGAGGUACACGUUCGAAAACUUGAGAGAAUGCACUGGAGACUUCAGUAAAAAGCUCGGAGGUGGUGGGUUUGGAACAGUUUUUGAAGGGAAAAUAGGUGAAGAGAGAGUUGCAGUAAAACGUUUGGAAGGUGCUAGACAAGGAAAGAAAGAAUUCUUGGCUGAAGUCGAGACUAUUGGCAGCAUUGAACACAUCAAUCUUGUUAGGCUGAUCGGCUUUUGUGCAGAGAAAUCUGAAAGACUUUUAGUAUAUGAAUAUGUACCGAGAGGGUCACUUGAUAGGUGGAUCUACUACCGCCAUAACAAUGCCCCUCUUGAUUGGUGCACCCGGCACAGGAUCAUUCUAGAUAUUGCCAAAGGCCUAUGCUAUCUCCACGAGGAGUGCAGGCGAAUAAUUGCUCAUUUGGACAUCAAACCACAAAAUAUUCUCUUAGAUGAGAAUUUCAAUGCCAAAGUGGCUGAUUUUGGACUAUCUAAGCUAAUAGACAGGGACCAAAGCAAAGUAAUGACAAUGAUGAGGGGCACACCUGGGUAUCUGGCACCUGAAUGGUUAACGUCCCAAAUCACUGAAAAAGUUGAUGUCUACAGCUUUGGAGUUGUUGUCAUGGAAGUAAUUUGUGGAAGAAAAAAUAUUGACAUAUCUCUUCCCGAGGAGAGUGUUCAGCUCAUCAAAUUGUUACAGAAAAAGGCUGAAGAUAAUCAGUUUAUCGAUUUGAUUGACAACCAUAGUGAGGACAUGGUCUUACACCAAGAGGAAGCAGUUCAAUUGUUGAAGCUUGCAAUGUGGUGCCUGCAAAAUGAUAGCAGUAGAAGGCCUUCAAUGUCAUCGGUGGUCAAGGUACUGGAAGGUUCAAUGAAUAUAGAAACUAACAUUGAUUGCAACCUUAUGAAUGCAAAUCCAGUAAUGUCUGUCCAGCAUAAUCAAUCAACAUAUUCAGUUCCACCUGAAGCAUCGAUUUUAUCUGGCCCGAGGUGA